rnacentral:misc_RNA from 1 species
GAUGAAGAACGUAGCGAAAUGCGAUAAGUAGUGUGAAUUGCAGAAUUCAGUGAAUCAUCGAAUCUUUGAACGCACAUUGCGCCCCUUGGUAUUCCAUGGGGCAUGCCUGUUCGAGCGUCAUUUGUACCCUCAAGCUUUGCUUGGUGUUGGGUGUUUGUCCCGCGCUCUUUUGCGCAAGACUCGCCUUAAAUCAAUUGGCAGCCGGCAUGUUAGCCUGGAGCGCAGCACAUUUUGCGCGCCUUGCUUGCUUGUGUUGGCCCCCAUCAAGUCCAUAUAUUUGCUCUUGACCUCGGAUCAGGUAGGGAUACCCGCUGAACUUAAGCAUAUCAAUAAGCGGAGGA